rnacentral:rRNA from 1 species
UGGGGAAUAUUGCACAAUGGGCGCAAGCCUGAUGCAGCCAUGCCGCGUGUGUGAAGAAGGCCUUCGGGUUGUAAAGCACUUUCAGCGAGGAGGAAGGUGGUGAACUUAAUACGUUCAUCAAUUGACGUUACUCGCAGAAGAAGCACCGGCUAACUCCGUGCCAGCAGCCGCGGUAAUACGGAGGGUGCAAGCGUUAAUCGGAAUUACUGGGCGUAAAGCGCACGCAGGCGGUUUGUUAAGUCAGAUGUGAAAUCCCCGGGCUCAACCUGGGAACUGCAUUUGAAACUGGCAAGCUAGAGUCUCGUAGAGGGGGGUAGAAUUCCAGGUGUAGCGGUGAAAUGCGUAGAGAUCUGGAGGAAUACCGGUGGCGAAGGCGGCCCCCUGGACGAAGACUGACGCUCAGGUGCGAAAGCGUGGGGCAGCAAACAGGAUUAGAUACCCUGGUAGUCCACGCUGUAAACGAUGUCGAUUUGGAGGUUGUGCCCUUGAGGCGUGGCUUCCGGAGCUAACGCGUUAAAUCGACCGCCUGGGGAGUACGGCCGCAAGGUUAAAACUCAAAGGAAUUGCGGGGUC